rnacentral:rRNA from 1 species
UACGGAGGGUGCAAGCGUUAUCCGGAUUUACUGGGCUUAAAGGGAGCGUAGGUGGGUCGGUAAGUCAGUGGUGAAAUCUUCGAGCUUAACUCGGAAACUGCCAUUGAUACUAUCGAUCUUGAAUUAUCUGGAGGUAAGCGGAAUAUGUCAUGUAGCGGUGAAAUGCUUAGAUAUGACAUAGAACACCCAUUGCGAAGGCAGCUUACUACGGAUAUAUUGACACUGAGGCUCGAAAGCGUGGGGAUCAAACAGG